UGCUGUUGUACGGAUUCUGGAUCCCUGUGUUUCACGCGAAACCCUCAGUCAGGUUGCUGUCACUGAGAUCCAUGACUACGUGCACAAAAAUCGGUGGUGCUCAAGUCCUGUCGCCAGUGUGGGAGGAUAUCUUCAGUUGGUGUCAUCCAACUAAAGUUGCUGUGAUUGAUGUGGGUGCAUCCUCAUGGAAGGAUCACUGUGUCUUUCAGUGGACCACCUGCGUGUCUCUGAGGCGAAACGACUAAUCUCUCUAAACAGAUGUAGUCAGAGAUAGCAAAGUUUUGACCUGAGGAAAUUGCUGUCUGAAAGGCUUUGUUGCAUCAACAAAAACUAUUUAUCCUGAGCCCCAGCUCUACUGCUCAUAUUCUUAAAUUACUUUUCACUACAAACACAAGUUGUUCUCUUCUCUUGACAUAAACAAUUAAAUCAAGUUUUGACUUGACUGGGUUGCAGGCAAAAAAAAAUCCAGAGACUUCAGUUUGACAAUGUGUGUGGCUCAUUUCUCAUGAAAUGGAAUACAUGAAUAAAGCCUAACACUUUUUAUGAGCAUCAUAAAUUACAUUACACAGCACCCACAGAUGUUUGACGAAAGAGCAUUGGGUGAAUUGUACGACCAUGCCCACCAACGUACUGAGGACAAAUUGUUUGUCAUGUUAGUGAAAAGUCCCUCUAAAUAAAACAGACAUGCAUUUGAAU